CCUACGGGGGGCAGCAGUAGGGAAUCUUUCACAAUGGGCGAAAGCCUGAUGGAGCAACGCCGCGUGAAGGAAGAAGGCUUUCGGGUUGUAAACUUCUUUUCUCAGGGACGAAGCAAGUGACGGUACCUGAGGAAUAAGCCACGGCUAACUACGUGCCAGCAGCCGCGGUAAUACGUAGGUGGCAAGCGUUAUCCGGAUUUACUGGGUGUAAAGGGUGUGUAGGCGGGAAAGCAAGUCAGAUGUGAAAACCAUGGGCUCAACCUGUGGCCUGCAUUGGAAACUGUUUUUCUUGAGUACUGGAGAGGCAGACGGAAUUCCUAGUGUAGCGGUGAAAUGCGUAGAUAUUAGGAGGAACACCAGUGGCGAAGGCGGUCUGCUGGACAGCAACUGACGCUGAGGCGCGAAAGCGUGGGGAGCAAACAGGAUUAGAUACCCGGGUAGUC
rnacentral:rRNA from 1 species